AGGUUAAUAUUCCUAUACCUCUAUACAAUGCGAUGUGGGGACGGAGAAGGUUAGAUCAGCCGGGUGUUGGAUGUCCCGGUUCAAGCGAGUAGGUUGGUUCUUUAGGCAAAUCCGGAGAGCUAAGACCGAGACGUGAUAACGAGUGUACUUGUACAUGAAGUGAUUGAUACCAUGCUUCCAAGAAAAGCCACUAAGCUUCAGUUGUAUAAGACCGUACCGCAAACCGACACAGGUGGGCAGGAUGAGAAUUCUAAGGCGCUUGAGAGAACUCUAGAGAAGGAACUCGGCAAAAUAACACCGUAACUUCGGGAGAAGGUGUGCCCCGGUAGUGUGAAGCGAUUUACUCGUGGAGCAUGAUGGGGUUGCAGUGAAAAGGUGGCUGCGACUGUUUAAUAAAAACAUAGCACUGUGCUAACACGAAAGUGGACGUAUACGGUGUGACGCCUGCCCGGUGCUGGAAGAUUAAAUGAUGGGGUGCAAGCUCUUGAUUGAAGUCCCAGUAAACGGCGGCCGUAACAAUAACGGUCCUAAGGUAGCG
rnacentral:rRNA from 11 species